GCUGCAGCUUCUAGCAGUGUCUGGAAGAACUACAGCCUUCAUGGGAAGAAGGGGAAAAAAAACAUUGCUGCAUACAGCAGUGUACCAGGUUAUCAAACGGGCUAUCAUGCUGAGUCGGUCCGGACUACAGGACAAAGCUGUGGAGGAACUCGUCACAAAUGUUUUAAAACAUGCCCCAGCCCACAGUAAACUACAGGUGCAGUCAGUCCCAGAAGUGGCGAUCCCACAAGAGGACAAUAACCAGCAAUUCAGAUGAAGACCUUUUUAAGUGUUUUAAAUAGUG